AACGAACGCUGGCGGCAGGCUUAACACAUGCAAGUCGAACGCCCCGCAAGGGGAGUGGCAGACGGGUGAGUAACGCGUGGGAACAUACCCUUUUCUACGGAAUAGCUCUGGGAAACUGGAAUUAAUACCGUAUACGCCCUACGGGGAAAAGAUUUAUCGGGGAAGGAUUGGCCCGCGUUGGAUUAGCUAGUUGGUGGGGUAAAGGCCUACCAAGGCGACGAUCCAUAGCUGGUCUGAGAGGAUGAUCAGCCACAUUGGGACUGAGACACGGCCCAAACUCCUACGGGAGGCAGCAGUGGGGAAUAUUGGACAAUGGGCGCAAGCCGGAGCCAGCCAUGCCGCGUGAGUGAUGAAGGCCUUAGGGUUGGAAAGCUCUUUCACCGAUGAAGAUAAUGACGGUAGUCGGAGAAGAAGCCCCGGCUAACUUCGU
rnacentral:rRNA from 1 species